GCGGGUUUGGUAUAGGGGCUGUGCCCAGCCCUCCAAGCUGGAGAGGCAGGUUCGAGUCCCGCAGCCCGCUCCA
rnacentral:tRNA from 1 species